ACCCUUACUCUCUCCUCCUCCUCUCAUUCUCUAGUGGUUUAAUGGACAGGAUUGUAUUAUCAUCAAAAUCAGAUGACAUGUCAUGCUAUGUUGCUAGAGUUUCAAAAAAGAAUGAGUUUUAUUGAUUUCGUUUUAUUUUGAAAUAUUCUUUUUUAUUGCUCUAUUGUGAAUCCAUUUGUUACAAAUCAUUAGAUUAACUCCACUGAAGAGUAUCAUUCAACUUGAUCCUUGCCUGCGUCACAUGAGUGGGUGUGUAUGAGGGGCUGGUAGUUUUGUAAGUGAUGGAGAAAAAACUGAUACUGACUACUGACAGUAAUAAGAAGAAGCUAAACCAGUCACUGUAAGGUUUGCUAAAGCUGGAGCUAAAGAUAAACAAAAGGUCGAACCUGAGGAACUUUGGAAAGCUGUGAGCUACCACUCACUUAAAGUGUUAAUUUAUGGUUUUGCAUCAGUAGUUGAGGAGAUGUGUCUCUUAAUUCAUUGGCCCUCCCACUCAAUGCACUGGAGACUGGAACUGAGACAUAGUGUCAUUCUUCCUUAGGAAUAGAGUAAUUGCCCUCGCCCACGCCGUAGGCGUAUAGGUGAGGGUACUGCGAUCGUCCUGUCAGUGUGUGUGUGUGUGUGUUCGCAAGAUGGC